rnacentral:rRNA from 1 species
CGGGGUGAGUAACACGUGGAUAACCUACCUAUAAGACUGGGAUAACUUCGGGAAACCGGAGCUAAUACCGGAUAAUAUAUUGAACCGCAUGGUUCAAUAGUGAAAGACGGUUUUGCUGUCACUUAUAGAUGGAUCCGCGCUGCAUUAGCUAGUUGGUAAGGUAACGGCUUACCAAGGCAACGAUGCGUAGCCGACCUGAGAGGGUGAUCGGCCACACUGGAACUGAGACACGGUCCAGACUCCUACGGGAGGCAGCAGCG